UACGGGGGGGGCAAGCGUUGUUCGGAAUUACUGGGCGUAAAGGGCUCGUAGGUGGCCAACUAAGUCAGACGUGAAAUCCCUCGGCUUAACCGGGGAACUGCGUCUGAUACUGGAUGGCUUGAGUUUGGGAGAGGGACGCGGAAUUCCAGGUGUAGCGGUGAAAUGCGUAGAUAUCUGGAGGAACACCGGUGGCAAAGGCGGCGUCCUGGACCAAUACUGACACUGAGUGAGCGAAAGCCAGGGGAGCAAACGGG
rnacentral:rRNA from 1 species